rnacentral:rRNA from 1 species
AACAAACGCUGGCGGCGUGUCUUAAGCAUGCAAGUUGAGCGGCAAGGAGGAGAGAUCCUCCCUAGAGCGGCGGACUGGUGAGUAACGCGUGGGUAAUCUAUCGUAGGCAUGGGGAUAGUCACUAGAAAUAGUGGGUAAUACCGAAUACGUUCCAUGAGGGGAGUAUUCAUGGAAGAAAGGGUGCUACGGCACUGGCCUUAGGUGAGCUCGCGUCCCAUUAGCUAGUUGGUAAGGUAAUGGCUUACCAAGGCGAUGACGGGUAGGGGACCUGAGAGGGUGGCCCCCCACAAUGGAACUGAAACACGGUCCAUACACCUACGGGUGGCAGCAGUAGGGAAUAUUGCAAAUGGGCGAAAGCCUGAUGUAGCAACGCCGCGUGUGCGAUGAAGGUCUUCGGAUUGUAAAGCACUUUUUGGAGGGAUGAGGAAGGACAGUACCUCCAGAAUAAGCCUCGGCUAACUACGUG